GACACGCUCGGCAAAUUCGGGGGCGCCGGCGCCGGGUCGAC
rnacentral:SRP_RNA from 1 species